rnacentral:misc_RNA from 1 species
GAUGAAGAACGUAGCGAGAUGCGAUAAGUAAUGUGAAUUGCAGAAUUCAGUGAAUCAUCGAAUCUUUGAACGCACAUUGCGCCCCCUGGUAUUCCGGGGGGCAUGCCUGUCCGAGCGUCAUUACAACCCUCAAGCUCAGCUUGGUGUUGGGCCCCGCCGCCCCGGCGGGCCCUAAAGUCAGUGGCGGUGCCGUCCGGCUCCGAGCGUAGUAAUUCUUCUCGCUCUGGAGGUCCGGUCGUGUGCUCGCCAGCAACCCCCAAUUUUUUUCAGGUUGACCUCGGAUCAGGUAGGGAUACCCGCUGAACUUAAGCAUAUCAAUAAGCGGAGGA